rnacentral:lncRNA from 1 species
AACCCAUGAAAUUUGAUUGAAUUGUGGGAAUGAUGAAAAUGAUGAUGUUAAACCCAUAAAAUUUGAUUGAAUUGUGGGAAUGAUGAAAAUGUUGAUGUUAAACCCAUGAAAUUUUAGUGAAUUGUGGGAAUGAUGAAAAUGAUGAUGUUACACGCAUGAAAUUUGAUUGAGUUAUGGGAUUAAGGAAAUGUUGAUGUUAAACCCAUGAAAUUUG